ACCCCUCAUCUGGACUGGAAGAUAGCCAAUGUAAAGUGCCUUUGUUCUAAGGAGAACAACUCGAGCUACUUCAGUCUAUCCACAUAAACAAAAUCCUUCAUCCCAGGAAAAUCAUUUUGGAAGACAAUUGAGUUUAUGAAUGCAAAGACGCUGCCUUGCAGUACCUCAGUUACUUUAGACCUAAAGCUGAAUAAGUGCAAACUACAGACUGAUGGAGGAACCCUACAUAGAAGAAGAUGGAGGAACCCAUGCUCAGGCAACAUCUGUGGAGGGGAAUGAACACGAUG